rnacentral:rRNA from 1 species
GGUUUUUUGAUUUUUAAUGAAAAAUCUGACCUGCCCAAUGAUAAUUAAAUGGCCGCGGUAUUUUGACCGUGCGAAGGUAGCAUAAUCAUUAGUCUUUUAAUUGAGGACUGGAAUGAAUGGUUGGACGUAAUAAUGACUUUUUUAAUUUUAAAUAUUGAAUUUUACUUUUUGGUGAAGAGGCCAAAAUAAUACCAAAAGACAAGAAGACCCUAUUAAGUUUUAUUAGUAGUAUAUUUAUAAUUAGAGGUGAUAUUUAAAUAUGCAGUAAUUUUGCUGGGGCGGUAAGUUAAGACCAAUUAUGAUCCAUAAGUUAUGAUUAUUUGUUUAAAUUACUAUAGGGAUAACAGCGUAAUCUUAUUUGAGAGUUCAUAUCGACAAUAAGGGUUGCGACCUCGAUGUUGGAUUAGAAUACCUUUUUGGAGCAGAGUCUAAAAGUGGUGGUCUGUUCGACCAUAGAAAUUCUACA